ACCUACGGGACGCAGCAGUGGGGGAUAUUGCACAAUGGGGGAAACCCUGAUGCAGCGACGCCGCGUGAGUGAAGAAGUAUUUCGGUACGUAAAGCUCUAUCAGCAGGGAAGAAAAAUGACGGUACCUGACUAAGAAGCCCCGGCUAACUAUGUGCCAGCAGCCGCGGUAAUACGUAGGGGGCAAGCGUUAUCCGGAUUUACUGGGUGUAAAGGGAGCGUAGACGGCAUGGCAAGUCUGAAGUGAAAGCCCGGGGCUCAACCGCGGGACUGCUUUGGAAACUGUUAAGCUGGAGUGCAGGCGAGGG
rnacentral:rRNA from 1 species